GUGCCUGUGUGCAGGAGAGACAAAGCUUUUGUGCAGAAUGCCCCACCCUCGGCACUUGACAGGGUGAGUGGAGGGCAUGUGGUAUUUCAGCCUCCACCCAGCUGCUGAACAGACAGGCACACACUGAACAGCCUCACCCGCCACAGCCUUGCUCUCAAGCGUUCUGCUUUCCUGCAUCAGCAGAAAUAAGGGGACCAAUUUAUCAUACCUGCUGGGUGCCAGAUGACGUAACUACGGCUUUGGGAUGUUACGCAACGAGUAAGGCCUUGUGAGUCUUCACAGAAAGGGACUGGCCUGGAGGCUCCGAGCGGUCAGCUAGUUCCCGUCACUGUUCUCCCCGGGAAGCUGUGGAUGGGCAGUGACCCAGGCAGGGAAAGGGAGAUAGAGAUGAAUCUACAAAAUGGAAAAAGUGUUGAACUUGGGAGUCAAGAGACCAGGAUUCUAGUUCUGAUGAUGCCCUUCACAUACCGAAUGCCCUGGGGAAGCCGCUUCCCUUCUCUCAGCCUUGGGUUCUCCAUGUGUCAAAUUAGGCUGUGGAAAAAGAAACACUCAUCUGGCUGAACGGAGACAUGAGCCUCUGUAAACUGAUUCUUCCUCCACAAAGGGGCCCUGGCCCUCACAGCCCCAUCCUCUUUCAUCCUUGCUGCCUGAUCCUAGGGAAGCUUUGCUCUGGUGGUGCCUGGAGCUGUGAUGUAUGCAGUCAUUUGAAACCCCAGCUUUGUGGAAGACACGAGACAUUGAUUUUUACUCUACCAUUUGGAGAAAAAUCAUUUUUAUAUUAGCAGAAAUGUUGAUAGACAAGGAGCAAAGUUUAAGGUUGGAAUGACUUUAAGAUUCAUUCAUUUUUUAAAAAUUUAUACUUAUUGAGUGCUUACUAUGUGCCAGCCCUGUCCUAGGCCCUUGGGGACUGGUUGGUAAAUAAAGCAGAUAGAGUAGUCGAUAAUGCCUGAUAUAGUUUGGAUGACUGUCCCCUCCAAAUCUCAUGUUGAAAUGUAAUCCCAAUAUUGGAGGCGGGGCUUGGUGGGAGGUGUUUGGGUCUCGUGGGUGGACCCUCAUGAAUGGCUGGGUGCUGUCCUAGAGGCGGUGAGUGCGUUCUCAUGAGAUCUGGUUGUCUAAAAACAUGUGGCACCUGCCCCCUCUCUCUCUCGCUUCCACUCUCACCAUGUGACACCCAGCUCCUGCUUCACCUUCC
rnacentral:lncRNA from 1 species